CCCUGUCAACAACAGAAGUUACCCUCAGCAACCAUACAAACCUAACAACAGCUUCCCUGGGUUAAUUUGAUCUGCUCCAAUCACAAAUUCCAAUCCACAUACUUUCUUCUGUUAUGGUUGUGUCUGUAUGUGUUUAAUGUACUUUUAUAAGGCUUUUUACAACAAGCUCAUGGUGUUUCAUUCAGCCCUCUACCACAUAAACAGAAGCACUGAAGAGCAUGUUUGUUCAUAUAAAAUGUUUCAGUUAUUCAUAGUGUGUGUCUUCAGCUGGCUGCAGAUUACAGUGAACGAAAGCAUUGCUGCCAUCAUUCUACAUUUCUCCUUUUCCUGCGCUCUAUCUGCUGUGCACCCGUGUCCCCAAAGCAUUUAUUAUAAUAUUGGAUGCUCACUCUCAGUUUUGGACUGAGAUGGUGGGGGUGGGAAACCUUAAAACUUGCCUGACUCACGUGCUCUCUAAGCCACUGCUUUGAUCCCAGCAUCCCGCUUUAACCUGCCCCUGUUGGACCUCUGCCACUUUACUGACCCCAUAAAACAAACAGAGCUAGCAAAUGCAUCAAACAGCCUCCUUCAAUAUGCGGCUUGACUGUGAUUCAUGGCACAAAGCUGGAAUAACCCUGCCAGGUCUUAGAAGCUUUAAGAUUCAUCGUUUUGAACUUGAUACACAUAGUACAGUGCCUUAAAAACGAAUCAUCUGCUAGUUCAGUAUUUUCUACUUACAAUCACUCCCUCCCAGGGCAUGUAAUUAAUUUACUGAGCUUAAAAAAAAAAAAAAAAAAAAAAAAAAUUCAGGAUUACUCACACAGUCUUGAAGAUGCAAUGUCAUCUAUUUAGGACAGAAACAUCCAAGGCCGUGUCAGAACUCAAUUACGACUACAUAUGCUUUAAGGCAGGAACUGGCAGGCCUCUGGGUACGCCAACUAUAGGACUCGUGCUUCUCGUACGCUGGGCUAUAAUCUAUGAAACUGAGCUCCAGAGCCAGCCAAUCACUUAGCUCCUCAUAACAAGUCUAACUGGCUCUGGAAAGCUGAAAGGGCUGCACCGGAACAACACAGAAGAGAUAUUCUACACAUUAAUCUACUUAUCUGGAAUCACUUUGACUCUAAAGGCCAGAGAAAAAUCACAGCUUCCUUGUUGGAGGGGAAAAGGACAGGUGAUCUGGGGAAAACGCAGCUACACCUGGAGCAAGGUCUCUUCCCGGCUUUGCAAUCCCAACUGUGCCCGCGCUUCAGGACCCGAGUCGUCCCAGAAACCAAAGGGCAGGCACGGCAGCAAACGCCUGAGUGCUGCUGCCUUUGGUGACUAUGUGAGAAUGGAAACUUCUAAGGAAGCCAGGUUGUUAGAAUUGUUACCCCCUUUACUGGAAGAUAACAUAGAUUAUCCAGGCUGAGAUGGAAAACAAGCCCUUUAUUGAAUUUUCAACACAGACUCCCUGCUUCUCAUCUCCUUAAUAAAAUUUCAUUAAACCCCCCUAGAAUUCCCAUGUUCAAAUCUCCAUUUGUUGACAGACAAGGCCAAGAAUACUCUAAACUGAGGCACACAAGUCAUUUCAUUUGUAUUCUUGUCCAAAAAUUUCCCAUAGAAAGACUUCACCUCCUACAAUUCUGAAGAAAACUCUUACUGCCCAAGACCAUCGCCAGCAACCAUCCACAGUCAUCUGAGUGGAAACUUUCACAGCUUUUGUACAUUCUCUGUGUCAACAUACAACUGAGUUACAGACUGUCCCCUGGCUCCCUGACCCUUACAAACACUAAAAGUUUUGUUUGACUCAA